GACGAACGCUGGCGGCGUGCUUAACACAUGCAAGUCGAACGGAAAGGCCCUGCUUUUGUGGGGUGCUCGAGUGGCGAACGGGUGAGUAACACGUGAGUAACCUGCCCUUGACUUUGGGAUAACUUCAGGAAACUGGGGCUAAUACCGGAUAGGAGCUCCUGCUGCAUGGUGGGGGUUGGAAAGUUUCGGCGGUUGGGGAUGGACUCGCGGCUUAUCAGCUUGUUGGUGGGGUAGUGGCUUACCAAGGCUUUGACGGGUAGCCGGCCUGAGAGGGUGACCGGCCACAUUGGGACUGAGAUACGGCCCAGACUCCUACGGGAGGCAGCAGUGGGGAAUAUUGCACAAUGGGAGGAAGCCUGAUGCAGCAACGCCGCGUGCGGGAUGACGGCCUUCGGGUUGUAAACCGCUUUCGACUGUGACGAAGCGUGAGUGACGGUAAUGGGUAAAGAAGCACCGGCUAACUACGUG
rnacentral:rRNA from 1 species